rnacentral:lncRNA from 1 species
GAUAUUUUGCAUUUCUAGGUGAGUGUUCCUUAUUUGACUUUAUGGCUUGUUGUUAUCAUUUGCUAAUGUGUUAAUUGCUUUUAAUGAUUUCCAAAACGAGCUUUCUAGGCGAGUGUGUACUUUAUCGCACUCGACCUAAAUAACUGUGCAAUUUUCAAGGAUUUAAUGAUUGAAAUGUUACUUGCGCAUGAAUGUAAGCCUUUUGGGCUGAACUGCCCAUUGCCCCUUGUUACCGGUCGUCUCGAGCCAGAAGCGGACUCGGUCGGGCGAUUAGGGACUUGGGUGAACGUUUGGUAUACUCGAGUAUUACUCUGUA